AGCAGUAGCCACGGGAAUACGGAGGGUGCAAGCGUUAAUCGGAAUUACUGGGCGUAAAGCGUGCGUAGGCGGUUCGUUAAGUCUGUUGUGAAAGCCCCGGGCUCAACCUGGGAAUGGCAACGGAUACUGGCGAGCUAGAGUGUGUCAUAGGAUGGUGGAAUUCCCGGUGUAGCGGUGAAAUGCGUAGAGAUCGGGAGGAACAUCAGUGGCGAAGGCGGCCAUCUGGGACAACACUGACGCUGAGGCACGAAAGCGUGGGGAGCAAACAGGAUUAGAUACCCCUGUAGUCCCUGUCUCUUAUAC
rnacentral:rRNA from 1 species